rnacentral:rRNA from 1 species
UACGUAGGGUGCAAGCGUUGUCCGGAAUUACUGGGCGUAAAGGGCGCGUAGGCGGUCCUUCAAGUCAGGCGUGAAAGCCCCGGGCUCAACCUGGGAACCGCGCUUGAGACUGGCGGACUCGAGUUCGGGAGAGGAUGGUGGAAUUCCCAGUGUAGAGGUGAAAUUCGUAGAUAUUGGGAAGAACACCGAUGGCGAAGGCAGCCAUCUGGACCGACACUGACGCUGAGGCGCGAAAGCGUGGGGAGCAAACAGG